rnacentral:pre_miRNA from 1 species
UUUGAAAAUGUGGAGGAUUCCUACAGGAGCGACCUGAGAUCACAUGUGGACACCCUAAGAUCUUCCCUUAUCUUCCAAGGAUUGUGUUCUUAUGUGUUCUCAGGUCGCCCCUGCCGGGCUUCCUCCGCCACUUGAUGA